GUCUAGUCAGGCUGACAAUCACGAUGAAUUGGCACUCUCUGUAACUGAUGAUGAGAAGAUGGUCAAAUGAUGACCACAGAAAUGCUGAUGCAGGAGGCUAUCUCUGAUCAUCCCUCGGGACUAUUGUUCCUUUAACAUCACCUUUACGGUAUGCAAAACAGAACCUUGAAGAGUAGGACAGAAGGCUUGGAGUUUUGUUCAAGGGCAACAGACUAUGAAAAGAAAAAAAAAAAAACAGAGUCAUCAUGACAUUUAAGAUGGCCUUUCUCUCCAAUAGAGGAAAAUGGAGCAGAGUAUCCUCCCCGUUUUACAAGCAUGACAACACUGAUAUUAUUCUUCAAGGAACCACCUUAACCCCACAAGCCCACAGUAACCAUGAGGCCUCCUCUUGGCUAGGACAAUUUUAUUUUGUCAAAUAAAAGUUGC
rnacentral:lncRNA from 1 species